UACGGAGGGUGCAAGCGUUAAUCGGAAUUACUGGGCGUAAAGCGUGUGUAGGCGUGCCCCGCAAGUCGGAUGUGAAAGCCCCGGGCUCAACCUGGGGAAGUGCAUUCGAAACUGCGGGGCUGGGAGUCCUGGAGAGGAAGGCGGAAGUUCUCGGUGGUAGAGGUGAAAUUCGUAAGAUAUCGAGAGGAACACCGGUGGCGAAGGCGGCCUUC
rnacentral:rRNA from 1 species